GGAAGAAUUUGGCGUAUACAACCUGGGCAGUCCAAGCACAAAUAGCCCUUCAUUGCCUUCAUUGGGUUCAUCUAAUAUAGUAGCAAUGACAUCUUGUGGACGUGAAAAUGGGAGUAUGCAUGGUUUGCAUUCUGGACUUCUCACAUCAAUGAGCCCGUUCAGAUAGGCUUCAUUUCUGGGUCUAUCAUCUACCCUACCACAGAGCCUGUCCUCUCCCAUUGGAAUUGCUUCUGCUGCAACUCAUAGUAACCAGGCUCCCCUUGGUGAGAUCAGCCACUCUCUUAGUCGGAUGAAUAGGCAUGUGAAUUAUGGUUUUCAAGGCUUGGGUGCUAUUCAUCCCCAUUCUCUUCCUGAUGUUCACAAUGGAGCAAAUAAUGGCACCCCUUACAAUCUGAACACCAUCACACCUGUUGGUGUCAAUAAGAACUCAAGAACA